CCACUUAGCUGGCAGGGGAGAGACCGUGGUCACGAAGGGGGUUCUUCCAGAGUGAAGCUUCUUCAUCGCGCUCAAGAGUUGCUGAUCCCUGUGAUUUCCUCAAUGUGGGAAACGGUGUUUGUGCUAGAAGAGGGCUGCGCUCUUU
ensembl:snRNA U1 U1 spliceosomal RNA